GACGAACGCUGGCGGCGUGCUUAACACAUGCAAGUCGAAUGGAAAGGCCCUGCUUUUGUGGGGUGCUCGGGUGGCGAACGGGCGGUUAACACGCUUAUAACCUGCCCAUCGUAUUGGGUAAACCUUAGGUAACUGGGGAUAAUUCCGGAAAGGAGAUUCCGCUGCACGGCGGGCGCCGGGAAUGUUGGGCGGUUGGGGAUGGUCUGCUGGCCUUUCUGUUUGGUGGGGGGGUAGGGGCCUCCAACGGCUUCCUCGGGUGGCCGGGCUGAGCGGGUGACCGGCGACAUUGGGACUGAGAUACGGCCCAGACUCCUACGGGAGGCAGCAGUGGGGAAUAUUGCACAAUGGGCGGAAGCCGGAGGCAGCAACGCCGCGUGCGGGAUGACGGCCAUCGGGUUGUAAACCGCUUUCGCCUGUGACGAAGCGUGAGUGACGGUAAUGGGUAAAGAAGCACCGGCUAACUACGUG
rnacentral:rRNA from 1 species